rnacentral:ncRNA from 2 species
CGAUGUUCUCAGGGCGGGGUGAAAGUCCCCACCGGCGGUAAGGGCCGAAAAGGCCUAAGCCCGCGAGCGCUUUCCGUGAGGGGUAUCCCGCAGGGAAGGGUCAGCAGAUUCGGUGCAAUUCCGAAGCCGACGGUUAAAGUCCGGAUGAAAGAGAACGGUC